UAGGGAAUCUUCCACAAUGGGCGAAAGCCUGAUGGAGCAACGCCGCGUGUGUGAUGAAGGGUUCCGGCUCGUAAAACACUGUUGUAAGAGAAGAAUGACAUUGAGAGUAACUGUUCAAUGUGUGACGGUAUCUUACCAGAAAGGAACGGCUAAAUACGUGCCAG
rnacentral:rRNA from 1 species